rfam:Pseudomonas cichorii JBC1, complete genome.
CCGGCCUGUUGGAACCGUCUUCUCCGGAAGCGGCUCCUUUACUGAAGGAUUGCCCAAAUGGCACUCAGCGUUGAAGAAAAAGCUCAGAUCGUAACCGACUACCAGCAAGCUGUU